AACACCUGACAAAAAAUCAGAGUAACGACAUCAGGUGUACUCGAGAGAUAGGGGCAGCUUAAUUGAAAACCCAUUUAUGAGAAGUCUACGAGGGAUAUGUAGCAGAAGUGUGCCUAUAUGUAUUGAGAAUGAUGAGACCGACUGAGAUUUUUCAUUACAAGCGCAUGGGAGCAUUGGGUAUUGUAGUGUUGUUCAAGGUCUUGGAAGUAAGUAUUGAUUCGGUGACGUAAAAUUCGUCGCGCAGAAACGCGCGAACGAACGCCGUGUGCCGUGAAUGUGGGAAGUGUCGCGCGCGCCUUUUAUAAACUGCAGCAGCCUCAACUCUUGACUGUGCAUGAGCAAUAAAAGCGGAUAAAAAGGGACACAAUGAAGUGGAAGAAUUUGAUAUAUAGUGCUCUCAGGAUAGUAAAUUAAUGACGGCAUGCUUCAUUAGCAAACGCGCGCGCGGAAAGUUUAUACGCGCACAAUAUAUAUUCAUGCGAAACUCGAGAAGCCCCUCGCAUGAUUAUGAUGAUGAUGCGUGUGCACAAAGACUCAAAGUUUCGGAUUUUUGUAUUUGCAAGGAUUCGUGGGUAGCCGAAGCUUGUGCUGGUCUUUACCUUGGUAAACGUAGACGAGAGUUAAGCAGACGUCGUCGACGAACCUCUUCUUAGGAGCGGUUUGCUCGUCAGCUAAAGCGCUUUUAGAAGCUGCCGAACGUGCGCCACGUUUUUACACAGUAGUGUGGGACGCGCUCGCGCAUUCACGCUGCCGUCGCGCGCAGACCUGCGUAUUGAAAUACUUCUCGCCAGCUUCUCGCAUCGGCUUUGAGACUGUUCUCUCGCUACAUCGUGCAUGUAUAUGUAUGUGUGUGUGUGUGUGUGUGUGUAUAUAUAUAUAUAUAUAUGCUGAUCUCCGACAGAUGACGCUAACGUGGACAAUUUAAACUUAUCGAAGACUUUUCGUUUUCGGGUGAGCGCGGGGAAAAAUAAAAACGACGUGCUUUGAAUUUCAAUAAUCGCUCACAUGUAUUAUUAUUAUAUUUUAAACAAUUUAAAAGUACAGAAGUUUUAUGUUUAUAUACUCAUAAUUUGAUUAGGGACACCAUCACGCAUGCGAGAUUGUAUACGUGCAGCAGUGAAUAGCGGGUGUCUUAGAGUUUUAACAACACAUAAAAUAGUUUCCUGAGAUAAAUACUGCCCUGCAGAUCGCAACUGCGGACAGCUCUGAUCUUAUACAUAAUAUUAAAGGAUGAAAGUAUAAAAGAAACAGUUUUGUCGUUUCACGCUAGCUCGACUUUUAAAUCUAUCCUUACUACUUGUUCUCUAUCUCAUCUUAGCUUAGUAUCUCUCUUUUAUACCUUUAUUCUCUCUUUAACUUUGUAUAAAAAUAUACACGUAUAUGACCACGAGCUUGUUAGGAAUAUUUAUGGCAAUAUAUAUAUAUUUUUUUGAAUAUUAUAGGAUUGAUCAACAUUGUUGGAGAGCAAUGGCGAACUCUAUCAACUUUUUAAAGAAAUCUAAUCAUCAGCCAAUAAUCAGUAUCGGUGUUAUUGACUCUUUGUUUAGUCUUUAAACUUUGUAAUUGUACUCAUAUGAUCCUGUUUAAACCAGUAACGCACUCUUAUAACGUAAUAUGGCUACAAAUUCAAUAAAACUUGCACAACAUUCAACUCGCUACUAUAAUAACAUACUGAUAAAUUUGUAAAGUCUAUCUAUAUAACAUUGGUUGAUUGAUAAAAUUAAUUAUUAUAAUAUAUAUAUAUAUACCUAAUAAGUGUAGAUAAAAGAGUUCUCUGGAGAUAAAAUCUUGAUAAAUUUAC